rnacentral:rRNA from 1 species
GGGUUGUGAGGUUAAGCGACUAAGCGUACACGGUGGAUGCCCUGGCAGUCAGAGGCGAUGAAGGGCGUGCUAAUCUGCGAUAAGCGCCGGUAAGGUGAUAUGAACCGUUAUAACCGGCGAUACCCGAAUGGGGAAACCCAGUGUGACUCGUCACACUAUCAUUAACUGAAUCCAUAGGUUAAUGAGGCGAACCGGGGGAACUGAAACAUCUAAGUACCCCGAGGAAAAGAAAUCAACCGAGAUUCCCCCAGUAGCGGCGAGCGAACGGGGAGGAGCCCAGAGCCUGAAUCAGCAUGUGUGUUAGUGGAAGUGUCUGGAAAGGCGCGCGAUACAGGGUGACAGCCCCGUACACAAAAGCGCAUGUGCUGUGAGCUCGAUGAGUAGGGCGGGACACGUGGUAUCCUGUCUGAAUAUGGGGGGACCAUCCUCCAAGGCUAAAUACUCCUGACUGACCGAUAGUGAACCAGUACCGUGAGGGAAAGGCGAAAAGAACCCCGGCGAGGGGAGUGAAAAAGAACCUGAAACCGUGUACGUACAAGCAGUGGGAGCACAGGUUUACCUGUGUGACUGCGUACCUUUUGUAUAAUGGGUCAGCGACUUAUAUUCUGUAGCAAGGUUAACCG